AGGCAAAAGAAGCUGCAGAGUUAAUAAGAUAGGAGUUAGCUGACUUAUCUCUUGGUGAAAAACAACUUCUCAUCUGGAUUGCAGAGUUAACCAACUUAGCCCAGAGUUUAAAUAAAAGAUCAGUUUCUCAAAAUGAUGUUCAAAAGGGGAUAGAGUUAGUAUGUGACUCAAUUAGAACCAAGAAAUCCCACAUAUCCAGUGUAGCAGUUUCAAGCAAAAUGAGAUCACGAUACCGUGCAAAGAUUGAAGCAGACA